UCGCUGCUUCUUUAAUACUCCUCUUACUUCUGGUCGGACUCUUAUGAGGAAAAAUAGAAAAUACUUUAAACCUGCUCUCUCUAGAGCAGGUUUUUAAAAAGGAUAGAUAUAUAUGUAUAUGUUACUUAAGUCGAGGUACAAAUGUCUGAAAUAAUUGUCGAUUAUUUAAAUAUAAUUAUACUUCAGUAUUUACAACUGUA